rnacentral:rRNA from 1 species
CCAAUAGCGUAUAUUAAAGUUGUUGCAGUUAAAAAGCUCGUAGUUGAAUUUCGGGAUCAAUAUGUUGGUCGUGCCUUUGGUACGUACUAGCUUAUUGAUUUCUCCCUUCUGACGAACCAUGAUGUCAUUAAUUUGGUGUCAUGGGGAAUCAGGACUGUUACUUUGAAAAAAUUAGAGUGUUUAAAGCAGGCUUACGCUUGAAUACUUUAGCAUGGAAUAAUGAAAUAGGACGUUUUGAUUCUAUUUUGUUGGUUUCUAGGAUCGACGUAAUGAUUAAUAGGGAUAGUUGGGGGCAUUAGUAUUCAAUUGUCAGAGGUGAAAUUCUUGGAUUUAUUGAAGACUAACUACUGCGAAAGCAUUUGCCAAGGAUGUUUUCAUUAAUCAAGAACGAAAGUUAGGGGAUCGAAGACGAUCAGAUACCGUCGUAGUCUUAACCAUAAACUAUGCCGACUAGGGAUCGGAUGAUGUUAAUUUUUUAAUGACUCAUUCGGCGCCUUACG